CCUAGGGACGCUCCAGUGGGGAAUAUUGCACAAUGGAGGAAACUCUGAUGCAGCAACGCCGCGUGGAGGAUGACACUUUUCGGAGCGUAAACUCCUUUUAUAUAGGAAGAAGAUGACGGUACUAUAUGAAUAAGCGCCGGCUAACUCCGUGCCAGCAGCCGCGGUAAUACGGAGGGCGCAAGCGUUACUCGGAAUCACUGGGCGUAAAGAGCGUGUAGGCGGAUUAAAAAGUCAGAAGUGGAAUCCUAUAGCUUAACUAUAGAACUGCUUCUGAAACUCUUAAUCUAGAAUAUGGGAGAGGUAGAUGGAAUUUCUGGUGUAGGGGUAAAAUCCGUAGAGAUCAGAAGGAAUACCGAUUGCGAAGGCGAUCUACUAGAACAUUAUUGACGCUGAGACGCGAAAGCGUGGGGAGCAAACAGGAUUAGAUACCCCUGUAGUC
rnacentral:rRNA from 1 species